UACGUAGGGGGCAAGCGUUGUCCGGAAUCAUUGGGCGUAAAGCGCGCGUAGGCGGCCCGGUAAGUCCGCUGUAAAAGUCCAGGGCUCAACCCUGGAAAGCCGGUGGAUACUGUCGGGCUAGAGUCCGGAAGAGGCGAGUGGAAUUCCUGGUGUAGCGGUGGAAUGCGCAGAUAUCGGGGGGAAUACCAGUGGCGAAAGCGGCACCCUAGCAUUAGCCUGACGCUCAUGUGCGAAAGCGUGGGGAGCGAACGGG
rnacentral:rRNA from 1 species